AUUUAUCGGAGAGUUUGAUCCUGGCUCAGGACGAACGCUGGCGGCGUGCCUAAUACAUGCAAGUCGAGCGGACAGAUGGGAGCUUGCUCCCUGAUGUUAGCGGCGGACGGGUGAGUAACACGUGGGUAACCUGCCUGUAAGACUGGGAUA
rnacentral:rRNA from 1 species